rnacentral:rRNA from 1 species
AUGAUGUGGGGCGUCGCAGCCGCCGUCGCCUCCGCGGCCGCCGUCGCCGUGGCCUCCGGCGCCGAGCUCCUCGCCUGCGACUGCGCCCCGACGGAGCCCGCCGCCGCCGUCGCCGUCGGCAGAUGCGACGAGUUCCUCCUCCGCCAGCGGGAAUCCUCGGCGCCGAGCGGGGCGAGCGGCGGCUCCGGCACGGACGACAAGUUCGCGCCGCGGUUCGACGGCCUGCGCUUCAUCGAGACGCUCGUCACGGCGCACCGCUGA